AUUGAACGCUGGCGGCAGGCCUAACACAUGCAAGUCGAGCGGUUGACGGGAGCUUGCUCCCUGAUUCAGCGGCGGACGGGUGAGUAAUGCCUAGGAAUCUGCCUAUUAGUGGGGGACAACGUUUCGAAAGGAACGCUAAUACCGCAUACGUCCGACGGGAGAAAGCAGGGGACCUUCGGGCCUGGCGCUAAUAGAUGAGCCUAGGGCGGAUUAGCUUGUUGGUAGGGUAAUGGCUCACCAAGGCGACGAUCCGUAACUGGUCUGAGAGGAUGAUCAGUCACACUGGAACUGAGACACGGUCCAGACUCCUACGGGAGGCAGCAGUGGGGAAUAUUGGACAAUGGGCGAAAGCCUGAUCCAGCCAUGCCGCGUGUGUGAAGAAGGUCUUCGGAUUGUAAAGCACUUUAAGUUGGGAGGAAGGGUUGUAGAUUAAUACUCUGCAAUUUUGACGUUACCGACAGAAUAAGCACCGGCUAACUCUGUGCCAGCAGCCGCCGUAA
rnacentral:rRNA from 1 species